GCCCAGGGUACGUUCUCACGGCGAUGCUGCCCUCGCAGCCCGUGGAUGACCCUGGGAGCGUUACUGCCUCACAACGUUUGUGCCUCAGUUACCGAUUGAUGUAGUGAGGGGAGCGAUACUUACGCUCAUUGGUGGUAAGGAACAGCU
rnacentral:snoRNA from 1 species